rnacentral:rRNA from 1 species
CAAUAGCGUAUAUUAAAGUUGUUGCAGUUAAAAAGCUCGUAGUCGGACCUCUGGGCGGGUGCGACGGUCCGCCGAAAGGUGAGCACUGUUGCGCGCGCCCAUCCUCCUGAGGACCUGGUGUGCCCUUGAUUGGGUGUGCCUGGGACUCAGGAUCUUUACUUUGAAAAAAUUAGAGUGUUCAAAGCAGGCCUUCGCUUGAAUACAUUAGCAUGGAAUAAUAGAAUAGGACGUUGCGGUUCUAUUUUGUUGGUUUCUAGGACCGCCGUAAUGAUUAAUAGGGACAGUCGGGGGCGUCAGUAUUCAAUCGUCAGAGGUGAAAUUCUUGGAUCGAUUGAAGACUAACUACUGCGAAAGCAUUCGCCAAGGAUGUUUUCAUUA